rnacentral:misc_RNA from 1 species
CAACCCUCAAGCACUGCUUGGCGUUGGGGCGCUACGCGCUGAGCGUAGGCCCCUAAAAUCAGUGGCGGACCCGCCGUGGCUCCGGGCGUAGUAGCAACACCUCGCCCUGGGACCGCGGCGCGCUCCGGCCGUUAAACCCCCACUACAUCGAA